UCUUUUUUUUUGUAAUUUUUUAUGCUGUUUUUUUGUAAAAUGUUACAGUUUUUUUAGUUUUCGGAAGAGUUCUAAAAUUUGUUUUUUGAACUGGAUUAGUACCCAGGUAAUCAAAAUUUAUUAGUGCGGGAGUAAAGUUUUGUUUAAACCGAAAAAAUAUUGACUGACUUUGGAUUUUUCUUUGGAACAUGUAAUUUUUCGGAAAACCCUCUUUAUUUGUUUAAUCCUAUGGGCUCAUGUAUGAUUGUUUAGUUUUUAUUUUUUUUUGUGAUGCUGUUUCUUUUGUGUUGAAAAAUAGAUAGAUAUUUGGCUAAUGGAUUUUGUUUUUUAUGUGUUACUAUUGUGAAUUUUUUUUUGGAUAUUUUUGUUGUUUUUUGUUGAAAUUGGAAAAGAAAGUAAUUUUUUUUUGUAUGUG
rnacentral:rRNA from 1 species